rnacentral:rRNA from 1 species
UUCGAUGCAACGCGAAAACCUUACCUGCCCUUGACAUGUCAGGAAUCUUUCAGAGAUGAGAGAGUGCCUUCGGGAACCUGAACACAGGUGCUGCAUGGCUGUCGUCAGCUCGUGUCGUGAGAUGUUGGGUUAAGUCCCGUAACGAGCGCAACCCUUGUCCUUAGUUGCCAGCGGUUCGGCCGGGAACUCAAAGGAGACUGCCAGUGAUAAACUGGAGGAAGGUGGGAUGACGUCAAGUCAUCAUGGCCCUUACGACCAGGGCUACACACGUGCUACAAUGGCGCAUACAAAGAGAAGCGACCUCGCGAGAGCAAGCGGACCUCAUAAAGUGCGUCGUAGUCCGGAUUGGAGUCUGCAACUCGACUCCAUGAAGUCGGAAUCGCUAGUAAUCGUGGAUCAGAAUGCCACGGUGAAUACGUUCCCGGGCCUU